GGAAAGCGUUAACCAGUUGACGCCAUUACAAUUGGGUUUCUUUGUGCAAAAUGGUUAACUUGAUCUUAAAAUGUUUAUCGUUAAUUAUGAUUAAUUAAUAUCAAGUGAUAUUUCAAAGUGUGUAUUAAUAUUUCGUGGUUAACACAUUAUCAACAAUAACCUAUUAAAAAUCUGUUGAUUUAAAGUGAACUCCAAUCCUUAUCAUUGAGCUUUUCUUGUCUUGGUUAUAAAUCUUAUUGUACAUUGUUAUAAAACCUCUUUUUUGUUAACCUUAUUUCUCUGUCUAUUCAUUAUCAACAUCAUCAUCACCAUGUCUUAUCAUGAUCAUUUCAUUUCAUCUCCUUCCUGGUCACGCACAAUAUUUCACCAAACAUCAUUAUUUAUUAAUAUCAUCACCACUAUCAACAUCAUCCACCUUUUUUUAGUACCACCAAGAUCACCAUCAGGAUCGCUGUCAGGAUCAUCGUGUGGAUCAUCGCCAAGAUCACCACGGACAUCGCCAUAAUCAUUAACAUUAUCUGAUGACAUUGACUUUAAACAGUUACUAAUAGCGGCUUCAUCAUAUCUAAUGAGAUUAGGUUAGGCUCAGCCGUUCAUGUUGGAUGAACAGUAAUUUUUUGGUUAAUGGUUACAUUGAUUAUCUUGAUUAUUAACAAAUUCAACCAGUUGAAUGAUGUAAACAAUGUAAUUCCAAUCUUGCUUAUUCUUAGCAAAGUGUUUCAAUUUGGUAUCCUUGACCAAAUUUGACCAGAUUCAACAAUCAUGGGUACAAUAUGAAGAAGUGACUGAAUAAAUUCAAUUUUCUUGUCACCAAAUUCAUUGUUUGCAUAUUUUGAAUAGCUAAAACACUUGAAUCAGUGCCAUUGUAAGAAGCAAAUAUUAAUUGUAAUCAUUACUUUAAUUUAACCAACUUUAAAAGGGUUUAAUAGUAUCACAGUAUGAGUUAAUUAAAAUUGUGAUUAAACUCUUUCUUACAAGUGAAA